AGUGAACGCUGGCGGUAGGCCUAACACAUGCAAGUCGAACGGCAGCACAGUAAGAGCUUGCUCUUACGGGUGGCGAGUGGCGGACGGGUGAGGAAUACAUCGGAAUCUACUUUUUCGUGGGGGAUAACGUAGGGAAACUUACGCUAAUACCGCAUACGACCUACGGGUGAAAGCAGGGGAUCUUCGGACCUUGCGCGAUUGAAUGAGCCGAUGUCGGAUUAGCUAGUUGGCGGGGUAAAGGCCCACCAAGGCGACGAUCCGUAGCUGGUCUGAGAGGAUUGUCAGCCCCACUGGAACUGGGCCACGGUCCAGCCUCCUUCGGGAGGCAGCAGUGGGGAAUAUUGGACAUUGGGCGCAAGCCUGAUCCAGCCAUCCCGCGUGGGUGAAGAAGGCCUUCGGGUUCUAAAGCCCUUUUGUUGGGAAAAAAAAGCAGCAGUUUAAUACCCCGCUGUUCUGACGGUACCCAAAGCAUAAGCACCGGCUAACUUCGUG
rnacentral:rRNA from 1 species